AACGAACGCUGGUGGCGUGCUUAACACAUGCAAGUCGAACGAGAAAGUUUCCUUCGGGAAAUUAGUAAAGUGGCGCAAGGGUGAGUAUCACGUGAAUAAUCUGCCCUCGAGAUCGGAAUAACAUGGUGAAAACUAAUGCUAAUGCCGGAUAAGACCACAUUUCAUAAGAAAUAGCGGUAAAAGGAAGUCUCAAUCUUCACUCGAGGAUGAGUUCGCGCAACAUUAGCUUGUUGGUGAGAUAAAAGACUCACCAAAGGCUACGAUGUUUAGCCGGCCUGAGAGGGUGAACGGCCACACUGGAACUGAGACACGGUCCAGACUCCUACGGGAGGCAGCAGUGGGGAAUAUUGCGCAAUGGGCGAAAGCCUGACGCAGCAACGCCGUGUGAGCGAUG
rnacentral:rRNA from 1 species